UGUUGUCUCCACAGUGCAGGCCGGCGAUUGAACUGAAAGCGUGGCCACCCGAGAUGGAAAAGUGGUCGCAUAAUGAGAUUGUUGUAGAGCCGUGAGAAGACCCUGAAGAACUUUCCGAGGGAAUCCGUUUGGAUUGUUGACUUUCCCGUCCUUUCCUGACAUGAGUGUGGAGAACGCCAGCCUCCUAGAUGUCCUGUUUGCCGCCCCGGUUUGCGAUGGCUGGAGCAACAACACCGAGGGUGCCCUCUACCAUCUGGGCAACACCGUCCUGUUCCUGGGCUACAUGGGUUGCAGCGGGGCCUACGGGUGCCUCUUCAUCUUCGGCCUCCUGGCCCCUUCCUUCCUGUGCCUGACUGUGUGGGGCUGGUUGACGAUAUGCGGCCCCGACGCGGUCACCUGGAACCUUUUGUUGCUUCUGGCCUGCCUGUUCCAGAUCUGCCACCUGCUGUACCGCCUGCACCAGGAAGGCCUGCCCAACGAGGAGCUGGCCACCCUCUACCGGGUCAUCUACGUCCCGUUGGGGGUGCCCAUCCAGGUCUUCAAGGAGAUCGCAGGCGCCUUUGAGAACAAGGUGCUGGAAAUGAAGGCGGGCCAGACGUACGCGGUGGAGGGCAAGACGGCCAUCGAGAGGCUCUCCUUUCUGCUGUCUGGCAGGAUUAACGUAUCUCUGGAGGGUCAGUUCCUGCACUACAUCCACCCACACCAGUUCCUCGACUCACCCGAGUGGGAGUCCCUGAGGCCCAACGAGGACGGAAAGUUCCAGGUUACUCUGACGGCAGAGGAGGACUGCCGCUACGUGUCUUGGCGCCGCCGCCGCCUGUUGUCCCUCAUGUCCAAGGAACGUUACGUGUGCCGCCUGUUCGCCGUCAUGCUCGGCUACGACAUUGCCGAGAAGCUGUACAACCUCAACAACAAGCUGUACAUCAAGAGCGGCGUCCUGCUGGACAUCCGCCUUCCCAGCCUCUACCACGUCCUGGCCCCCUCGUCGCAGAGCAGCGAGGGCGAGCCCCCCGAGCGGGCCGACCGCCACCCCCGCCGGGAGUCGGAUCCCGACCGGGGACGCCGGGCCGACAACCCCGUCGGGCGGUCGUGGCCGUCCGACCCGGAGCUGCCCUCUGGUGAGGACUCCACCAGCCUAGUCCUGGAGGACUUUGCCGACUUGGCGGGCUCCUUAACCGACUAUGGCAGUGAGAGGGAUUAUUUGAGGUAGAGGGGGUCGCGAGGGGUUCCGGAGCUAACACACUGGCUCACCCGCUUAAGAUACAUGGGCCGGAGGAGCAGCUCGCUUCCAGAGGAGCCGAGCGCCUCUUGCUCCCACCGACACUCCCAAACUCUGACCACAGCAUUUUUUUCUUUUGACCUUUCACUAUUUGGACCACAGUUAUUUGUUUUUGUUUUGAGUCACACAUCACUUGUGCUCAUUUAAUGUUAUUUUGCUGAAAAACACAAACGAAAUUGCGUGCUUCCUCUGUACUGUACAUAAAAUGCAUUACCGUAGACAACCAUGAGCAUUUUCUGUUGUUGUUCUUAAUGUUGAACAUCCGCCAUUCUAAUGUGAAAUUGCCCAAUUGCAGUUGAUUUAUUACCACAGGGGGCCAACAUUUCUCCAUAAAGCUUCUGUGCAGAGUGCAGUGAAAAUGUUUUGGGACUGUCUACUUUCUGGAAUGAUUCAUGUACAGGCUAUUUUUAAGCCUAUUUUACUUGUGUGUAAAAUGACAACAAUAAACACACUUGCUAACUUGG